UCCAAAUAUCUCCUCCAGGUCAGCAAAAGUUAAAAACAAACUGAACCAGCCCAACAAAAUAGAUCGAUCAAGAAGGGAUCUUCUCCUCACGCUCGAUGACCGCCGCCGCCAUGGCUACCCCAAGCCUUCUAUCUCAAUCAGCCAAUCAAAAUUGAUCAAUCAAGGCAAAUCAUGGUGUUCUGCGAGCAGCGGACGUUCAGAACCAUGGCACCACGUUUGGUACGCUGGCUACAAGACGUAUUGUUUGCCGAUGGCACCCGCAAGAAGGAUAAAAGCAUGGAUGCAUCUAGCUGCUUGCAUUGCUUAUUUAACUUAAUAUUGGGAGAUCCGUGGGAGAUAAGUUGCUGGGCUCUACUUGCCUUCACCUCCAGAAAUAUCAAGAGAGGCUGGGAGGCUAGCGGAGAAUUGCAUCGACGAUAUCGAUGGCAAUCAUCAAUCCAGUAUCCACGGCGCUUUCAACCAAGUCGCAGUGCCCUAAUGGUAGGCCACUGCCAUUUACAUGAAGGCUUAGGUAAGGCUAACAUGAUGAGAGUAUACCCGUAUGUCGCUACAUGGCAGACUGACUCAAUGAGAGGAACUCCGUCAUGGUUGGAGAGCAGAGAAUGUUAUGGCGUCCGAUUUCCAGGUUAGCAUAUCGAUGUUCAUGCUUUGGUUCUGCGCACUGCACAUCAGUGAUGGGCAGGAGCAGCCUAUGAUCGAGUCACAAGAAAAAGUCCCAAUACAGAUGUACGUCCAGCCUAUGCUAUUGUCUAAUUUGAGGAGAAAAACUUCUUUGAAAACUGAGACCGCUCAAGAUGGUAAUUAGUGGUAGUUCCAUUUUUUUUCUUUCUUACAAAAUAUGAUAUAAACUAUAUAAAACAAUUUAUAUCCCGAGAAAGUAAUACUACCAGAGGCCUAGCGGUCUGGACAUCAGGGGCAUGAGACAACCUGGGAUUGUUCAGGGCAGCGCUGCUGGACACGUUGGUCCGCAAGCCAAACCUGUCGCUGUCCAGUUCAAUAGACUAGGAAAAUCAGGACCUUCAU